GUUUCCUUGAGCUCCUGCGGUCUGCGUCCACGUAGAAGCGGAAGCCGAGGAUCCGCUGCUUAAUGGACUGCAGUGGGAAAACCACCCACAGCUCUGCCUGAUGGGCUUCAACUGCUGCUGCUUGGGAAGAGAAGAAAACAAACCGCUUUCUUCAUCAAGAUAAGGUUUUUAGAGCCUGCAUCCCAUUCUCCAGCCAGUUUGGGCUGGAAUUCUCCAUGUAGCCCAGGGUGGCCUCAAACUUAAAGCAAUCCUCCUGCCGUAGCCUCCUGAGUGCCAGGAUUACUACUAGCACAUGACACUAGGACCAGCUUCUUUUACACGAGCUUCCUCAUUUUCUUAGACCUACCUGGGAGAAACACCAGCUUUCCUCCCCUUUAAUCACAGCAGUGAUCUAGGGAACAGCUGUGCAUCUGUGGGAGUGGGUCUUUAGGACAGUGACUUUCUGAGGCUCUGCUGCUCAGCGAUGGCUACCCCAGAGCACAAGAAUGCCCUUACUUAUGUGUGUGUGAGAGAAACGCAUCCACAGUGCAUGUGUGAAGAGCAGAGAGAAUGCUGGCCCGACCACAGACCUGCUCUCAGCGCUGUCUUCCUAGUGACACUUGACGCUGGAGCAGCUGCACUCGAAGGCGAAGAAGUACAAAGCUCUGGCCCUUCUCUACCUACCUCCCUACAAGUCUGAGCCCUCCACAAGUUCUUUCCAGAAGUCAAAUUCCCCCUGGUUCCCCCCAAGUCCUUUUGCCCAUCCUCCAAUGCUACCUGGCCUCACCAGGGCUAAUCCUAUGGGCAUUCUGCACGAGGCACUGUGUGCCUGCCGCUGAGGCUUUCCAGCCAAGGCCUGCUCUAUCACCUCACCCAGGAGCCACUGGCUUGGCACCCUUGAAGCUAGAACCAGUUCCAGCCGGCAGUGAGAUCAGCGAGAACUGAACAAAAUGCAGCUUGUCUGCAAUUAUACUACCAGCAACACACGUACAGCCACUUUCUUUCACAGACCUUUUCUGUUCUGAUGUCGACACUGGGUAAAACAUAGGGUUCUAAAUAGCCUUUGCUAAUAUUUCCAUAAAAGUCAGACUUACU
rnacentral:lncRNA from 1 species